rnacentral:misc_RNA from 1 species
AGUUAAAAAGAUUCAGCCUUUGAUCUCAAAUUUCUCCCUAAGUUUUUUCAACAUCCUCAACCAUUUUAUGCAAAUAAUCAAAUUUUAGUAAAUGGUAAUUGAAACUCCAUAUUAAUUUUGUAAAGUUAAAAACAAGUUGAGAAGUUACCAAGAAAAAAAAAAGGUUUUCUUUUUUAAUUACAAUAGUUUGUAGAGUUUAAGAUUUACAUCAUAACAAUUUAAAAUGUAGGUCCGAUUUGAAAUUACAUCUAAAGGUUAGGGGCAUAAGCCAGUAAUUGCAAAGAAAUAUUUAACAUGUGUAGUCCCUAGUAAGAAACUAAGAAUGUCCUCAAAAGUCAGAACCAAUGAAACACAUGUGGCUGAUUCAUAUAAGACAUAAUGGCAGUCAUCAUUGGAGAAAGAAAAAUACCGUAACUGGAGACCAAAUAAAGCAUCCAUAAUGAAGACAUUUGCUGUUGGUUCUUAAUUUAACACACAAAUCCAAUUCAGU